AACGAACGCUGGCGGCAGGCUUAACACAUGCAAGUCGAACGCAUCCUUCGGGGUGAGUGGCAGACGGGUGAGUAACGCGUGGGAACGCGCCCUUCAGUUCGGGAUAACCCAGGGAAACUUGGGCUAAUACCGGAUACGUGCGAGAGCAGAAAGAUUUAUCGCUGAAGGAUCGGCCCGCGUCUGAUUAGCUAGUUGGUGGGGUAAUGGCCCACCAAGGCGACGAUCAGUAGCUGGUCUGAGAGGAUGAUCAGCCACAUUGGGACUGAGACACGGCCCAAACUCCUACGGGAGGCAGCAGUGGGGAAUAUUGGACAAUGGGCGCAAGCCUGAUUCAGCCAUGCCGCGUGAGUGAUGAAGGCCUUAGGGUUGUAAAGCUCUUUCGUCCGGGACGAUAAUGACGGUACCUAUAGAAUAAGGACCGGCUAACUACGUGCCAGCCGCCGCCGUAA
rnacentral:rRNA from 1 species